GUAUUCUACCACUCAGGUAAGUGCUCUGGUCCCCAUAAAGAGUUACUGAAGUCAGACACAGGCUGGCUGCUCUGUGGUCCCCUCUGCCUUUCAUAGGGAAGAUGUGUUGCAGGCUCUCUCUCUCUCUCUGUGUGUGUGUGUGUGUGUAAUCAUCUGAAGGACAGGAAGGGCUCUUAGUGCUCCAUCAGUGGAUUCAGGUAGUGUUCACCUGCUUGUCUUUGCUGACUGGGGUGUCUGUGUGUCCGUCUGUCCACAGAUGCUGUGGCUGUGAGUGGAUAGUUGCUGCAGAGGCUUUGGUAAGGGAGCUGGGCCAGGAUAACGUCGCACUGUACUGGGUGUGUGUGUGGAGUGCCUUGGUUGGCAUGCAGGGACUGUGGGGAUAGUUUUGAGUGGGUGGGGUAUAGUGUGGACUCAGCCCAGGUGACUUGGCCACUCAACCUGAGUGCUUCAGUGUCUGCACAGCUGAGAUGGGAUGGUUGGAUACAUCUCAGGUGCUGGAGAGGGGAUGACAGAAAAGUGUCAUUUGGGGUUCUACAGAUGGUGGGGUCCUUAUCCCUUUUCUAAAAUCACCCUUAGCUUCUCUUCUAGUUGCAGAGUGCCCAAAACAAUGGCAGCCAACUGCCCAUUGCCUCUGCAGGCCAGGCUGUGCCUCAGGUAAAUGUCACCACAGAAAGAGAAGGAUGCUGAGGAGCAACGGCAAUGUCAGCCCGGUUUUUAAGCCCUCCUCAUGACAGAAUGGUGGCCCACAGGUCGGGAACUGACCCAGCUCUUCGAUGAACAGCUUGCCUGUGUCCUGGCUGCGGAUAGUAUAGGCUACAUAGACAUCAGGAGCGCUCUUCCUCUGGCAGUCCUCGAGCAUCUUCAGGACCCUGACCAGUGACAGUGUCAUCUCCCAGCAGUACAGUACAUCUAGGAAGGAAAGGCUGUUACUGAAAGGGCCUCCCACCAGGUGUGAGGGGGUGGCUGGUCUCACUCUGGGGGCAGGGCUUGGGAGCUGCAGUAUUAAGAUGUGUGUGUUGUUCCUUAGGAAGUGUCCCAGGUGAAAGGCAGGCCCCAGGAGGAAAGGCCUCUAAAGACUGGAACCUCCUGUGGCCCUUGCUCACUUAGAAGCUUCAUGAUGAAGCAGAUCCUAGCCUGGCUUUGGGCUUUUAGAGGGUACUGAGUGUGGGGUGUGCUGUUUGCAGUGAUCUCUGUUGUGAUAGGGGAGGAAGACUCUAGUGGCCCAGGCAAAUCCUUUCUUUCAAAGACUCCAUUCUGUUUCCUAAGAGGCUGGGGCUCUCUUGCCAUCUCUAAAGGACACAGGACAGGGACUUAGGACCCAAAUGGUUGGCAGCCAAGGCCACAUGGCACAGUGAUGGCACAUCUGCAUAGAGCCAGCAUGGGCAGUGUGGUUGGGCCUGCCACCUCAUUUAAACAUGACCCAGGAUGGUACUAACAACAGGUGGAGAAGUUGGAUGCGGCCCUGAGAGGACCACAGGCUACAUGGCCAGUCUACCCCACCUAAAGAUCCUGGGUGGCUGUUUGUCACCAGCAGUGGAGGGCAGUCCUUGUGGUGGGUGGAACUGCUCUAGUGUUCAUAUAGGAGCAGGGAGGGAACUCAGUGGCCUCAGGGGGCUGUGGCAAGGUACUCCAGGCCACCUAGUGUGCUGCCCUGACACCUGUCCUGCUCAUCUCAAGCCCUCUGGGGACAGCUGGCUGUUCAUGGACAGAGCCCCAGCAGUGAGAGCAGCUAUCUCCACAGGGACCUGAAGCUCUGGAGUAUGGGCUGUCACGUCACUGAAAGCCCAGGGUGUCUCUUUGGAGUCCUGCUGGUCCCUGCCUGCUCCACCCACAGCUUCUUCCUGCUGGAAUGAGGGUUGCUGCUGGGGCAUUACCUGCUGCAAUGACAACAUCUGCCUGGAAGGCAGAGAGCUGAGAGGCUGUCACCUCGUCCCAGUCCAGCUGAGCCACUGUCACCUUCGAGCUGCCUGCGUCAAUGGGGGUGUGCGGCUCUAAGGAGAAGCCGUUGAGGAGAACGUUUCCACGGAGCUGCUCAAGCACUUGGGCAUGACAGUCGCUGAAGAUGUAUGCUCUGGGGCAGCAUGCCUUGCAAAUUGCCAGGCCUGUAAGGCCAGCUCCACUGCCUAGCUCCAGGAUAGUCCUGAGUGAGAGAUGGGGACCUGUGUUCACAACUGCGCCAGCACCAAUCACCUUAGUGCCCUGCUCUAUGCCCCAGGGUCACCUGUCAGUGAAGGCUGCUGGGUUCUCAAUGGCCCAUUCUGCCAGGUAGAGAGCAGCGUCCCAUGUAACCAAGCCUGUGGUGCCAUGGGACACGAUGGCAGUGCUCUCAGAGAGUGUAACUGAGUUUCCUGAAGGCUGCAGACAAGAAGGAGAAUGAACAAAACCAUCAGAGUAUGUCUGGUGGGACCUAAACCAUAGCAAGUGCUGAGCAGAAUGUGAUAUGGGGUAGAAGGCUGUAGAAGGCACUCAACAAUGGAAAGUAACGACCUCCCCACACCCGGCAAUGUGGGGACCUCAAGGAUGUGAUAAGUGCAAGGAGCCAAUCUCAGGUUCCGUGCUGUGUGAUCCCCUUCAUCUAACACCUUUAGACCCAGUCACAGAGAAGAGUGUGUGUGGUGGACAGGGGUAAGCACAACACAACACUCAUGUUUCAUACCAGCAAAUAGCUCCGGUGGCACUGGGUGGACUCUUGGGUCAUCAGAACCUCUGCCAACGCCUCAUACAGUGCAUCCAAAGGCUCCGUGGGUACAGCCUCAUGCUGGGAACAGACAGCCUUAAUUCAGAGAUCACACUGACUCUUGUAAACAACCAUUCCGUCCCUUGCUUCUGUCUGCUUUGUGAAUAGGAUUGGGUAGCUUUCACAGCAUUCGUAGUGCUGGUGAUGGAAGUCAAGACCGUGUGUACAUGCUGGGCUGGCAUUGGACUGCGGAGCCAGGCUCCAGCCUCAUCUUAUUGGAUUUAGAGGGGAAGUUUGGGAGUGGGUGGUAUGCCAGCAUUUGAACAACUUAGAAUUAAAAUUAACAGAAUUAAAAGUGCAGUGGUAGGGUGCCUCAAGGACAGGUGUGGAGAGAGGGCAGGUGGAUCUAGGAGAGCCACAUUGCCCCAGAGGGGUGCUGCUGUUCUUGUGAGCCCCAGGCUCAUAAUGCAGAGACUUUCAAGAUGCCUCUUGGUGCCGUUAAGCCAUGGCUUCACCAGGCCUCACAGCCCCGUUUCUCCUGGUGCUACCAGGGUCUACAGAGGUACCAGGGUGCUGAGGCCCAGGACUAGAAUGGUGCAGAAGCAAGGAUGACAGCUGUGCUGAGCCUGGUGGGCAGCUGCUUGCUUCAGUGCUGACUGAAGCUGGCCUGCUGCUGUUCUCCAUGGCUGUCUAGAGUGGCAUGGAGCAGGUCUGGAUAUGCCCUCCAAAGGUGCCUUGCAGAGGUUGGGGGGAUUCUGGCUAGCAGCCUAGUUGGGAGAAUAACAAGAUACUAGCUGGGAAGGGACUGUAAGAACAAACUUCCAACAGGGGCGCAUGACUGGUAGGAUGGGGGAGGAGGAGGCAUCCUUCAUUCACUGGCAGGGAUGUCUGGUUGAAAGGAGAACCUUAGUUUAGGAGGAGAAGCUGCUGCUGAGAGCCCUGGCUGCUCUCCUCUGUACUCUCCGACCAUGUUCACCAGCCCCCUGCAAGGAAGCUCUGACUCAGAGCUUACACAACAACCACAGGGCAGGGAGGGGCUGCUGGCACCUGGGGAACUCUGUACCCCACUAUGUGGCCUGUCCCCAGCAGCCACUGCCCAUCACUGACCUUUUUGAUGAGCUUUGAGAGAAAGCAGCGGGCAUACUUCACAGAAGGUCCGUGCUGCACACACACAGGGUGCUUCACAGUCUAGACGACAAAGGACAAGGUGGUUGCUUGCUCUCUGUGUCCUAGAAGCUUCACAUGAUUGGUGGGGAUUGACGUUCCAGCAAAGAUAUGCAUGGACAAUGUGGGUAUGUGCCCUGGGCAUCUCCAGGAAGUCUUUCCUUAAGAAGGUCUUGCUAGACAGCAUGGACUGGUCUCAAAUUUGCAAUCCUCCUGUCUUAGGUUUAUAGGUUCAUGCUGCCAUUCCCAACUUAAGAACAAGUUUUACGAUCUUUCUUUAAAACAUUUGGACGUAGUAGCAUAGCUCUGUGUAGGAACCUGAGCUCACAGGGCCUUUCCUGCCCACCCAGCCUGGCAGGUGGGAAUGAUACUAGUUUGUUGUGAGGGUCAAAGUGGGCUAUCUGACUUCACAGAUGAGGUGAGGGCCCAGUGGCAGGAACCAGAAGUCUCAGAUGCCUGUCGUCCUGACUAUGAGGCCUAGGUGGUGAGGAGGGUUGGAGAUGGAACGGAACAGGCAAAUAUGGAAGAGCAAAAGCUUUGCCUAGAGAGGAACUCAUGACUCAGCAGAAAGCUUCCAAAAGUGAGGUGCAGGCUCUUCAGCCAGGGAGAGCAGUGUGGGGUAGCUCCCAGGUGGCUCUGACCUGGCAGUUUUGAAAGGAGGUCAGAGGACCAGCAGAAAGUAGGACAUGGAAAUGGGUUAUGGAAGGAGGUAUAGUUUGAUGCCUUGGAACGACCACAGAAUCCCCUUAAUGCCCCUUAAUAUAGCUCUUCAUGUUGUGACCACCAACCAUAAAAUAAUUUGCCACUUCAUAACUAAUUUUGCUACUGUAUGAACUGUGAUGUAAAUAUCUGUAUUUUCUGAUGGUCUUGGAUGUCACAGAGGGGUCACAAUCCACAGGUUUCGAGAACCAUCGUUCUAGUCCCUGUCUGGGCUCUAAUCAUUGCUCCCUUAAGGCCUUCAAGGGCUUCCCACUGAGGGCUCAUUGGUGGAUAACUCCACUAGAUCUUAAAGGAGCGUGCUGAGUUUGGUUGGUCACCCAUGGGAGGCUGUGAGACAAAGCCUGCCUGCCUCCCCCUUCAUCUUUCUGAUACAAGAUAGCUUAGACUGAAUCUGCAUUGGCCCUGGCUCAGCAUAGAAUUCCUGGUCUAGGCUCCUAGGGUGGGCUCAGCUGCUAGGUUGUCACAGGAUUUUCCCUCUCCUAUUGCAUUAGGGCAGUGGGAGGCCUGUGACAGGACAGGGAAAAGGGAGGUGAGCUAAUAGUUGCAGAGACAGGGAGCAUCUUGGGGGGGGGGGGGGGGAGGAAGAUGGCAGUAGACGUGAAUCAUCAUAGCUAUGACCAGCCACGGGUUCUUAUAUCAUAAAGGUUAGAAUAUUGGGAUAAUUUGUCCAAUCUAGGUGGGCAGCUUUUGUCAUUAUCAAUUGGUUCUGAAAUGAUUGUAUUAGAA
rnacentral:lncRNA from 1 species